rnacentral:rRNA from 1 species
UGCGUAGACGGUUAGAUAAGUCGGGUGUGAAAGCCCCGGGCUCAACCUGGGAAUUGCAUUCGAGACUGUUUAGCUAGGGUGCGGAAGAGGGAAGCGGAAUUUCAGGUGUAGCGGUGAAAUGCGUAGAUAUCUGAAGGAACACCAGUGGCGAAAGCGGCUUCCUGGUCCAGCACCGACGUUCAGGCACGAAAGCGUGGGAGCAAACA